UAGAGCGCACGCCUGAUAAGCGUGAGGUCGAUGGUUCGAGUCCAUUUAGGCCCAUCCACGGCCGCACAGACCGGAGUAACAUGGGGAAUUAGCUCAGAUGGGAGAGCACCUGCUUUGCAAGCAGGGGGUCAGCGGUUCGAUCCCGCUAUUCUCCAUUGACACGCAAGUGUCAAACUUGGUUCUUUGAAAACUAGAUAAUAUUAAUUUUCUGUAAUAAUUUUUUGAAAUUGUAUUUCAUAUAAUUUCAACCGAGAACACCGCGUUAUUUUGAGUUUGUUAACUAGAAAAAAAUCGCAAAUACUCAAUUAACUUUGCAUCACUUCGUGAUGUACAGGUUAAGUUAAAAAGGGCGCAUGGUGAAUGCCUUGGCACUAGAAGCCGAUGAAGGACGGGACUAACACCGAUAUGCUUCGGGGAGCUGUACGUAAGCUUUGAUCCGGAGAUUUCCGAAUGGGGAAACCCAGCAGCUUUAAUCAGCUGUUACUAUAUAGUGAAUUCAUAGCUAUAUAGAGGUAGACGUGGGGAACUGAAACAUCUCAGUACCCACAGGAGCAGAAAGAAAUUUCGAUUCCCUAAGUAGCGGCGAGCGAACGGGGAACAGCCCAAACCAACGAGCUUGCUCGUUGGGGUUGUAGGACUGAACAUUUGAGUUACCAAAGUUGUUGAUAAUCGAACAAUCUGGGAAGGUUGGCGAAACAGGGUGAUAGCCCCGUAGGUGAAAUCAAUGACCCUCAGUUCAGGAUCCUGAGUACGGCGACACACGUGAAACGUCGUCGGAAUCCGGGAGGACCAUCUCCCAAGGCUAAAUACUCUCUAGUGACCGAUAGUGAA
rnacentral:sRNA from 2 species